UACCCUUGCAGGAACAGUACUGUACUUGAACAUCAUGAGUGCCUGAUCGCUGGAUGCACGAUCGUGGUGAAACGUCACUUAUAUAACCACAACCUCGAACAACUCGGACCUUGCCAUUUACUGUAACGUAAACAUGCAGAACUGCCGUCUAGGAACAAACAGGCGAUCGAUAGACAAUGGAUGCGAUAUAAUAAUCGUUCGAUCACAUUCCGAAGUUAACUCGAAUUAUUACGGAGAUCGAUUUUGCCUCUUCACUCUGCAGCGAUUUUAUGUAAUCGAAACUACACUAAUUCGUAAUUGAAUCUUUCGAGAUAGAUGUGAUGUCUGUCUUCAUUGCUACUUUACGGCAUUGAAUUAAAGUAUCAUUUCGUUUCAUGUCGAGAUGGGCGAAAGUGUUAUAUCAGUUUAAUAUCCACUACAGAGGACCUAUCCACUAUCAUCCGUCACAGUAUGAUGCGGAAUAAAACUGGUUAUUCAGGAUCUUCAAAUUCUUAAGCAAGAUUUAAAGCCGGCGACAGUACAACAAAAUUUUGGACUGCAUCAUCUGGUAAGUGAAAUUUUCUUUACCUUGUAUUUAUAUAAAGAAUAACAUUAA